AUAGGGGAGCCGUAGGGAAACCGAGUCUUAACCGGGCGUUAAGUUGCAGGGUAUAGACCCGAAACCCGGUGAUCUAGCCAUGGGCAGGUUGAAGGUUGGGUAACACUAACUGGAGGACCGAACCGACUAAUGUUGAAAAAUUAGCGGAUGACCUGUGGCUGGGGGUGAAAGGCCAAUCAAACCGGGAGAUAGCUGGUUCUCCCCGAAAGCUAUUUAGGUAGCGCCUCGUGAAUUCAUCUCCGGGGGUAGAGCACUGUUUCGGCUAGGGGGCCAUCCCGGCUUACCAACCCGAUGCAAACUGCGAAUACCGGAGAAUGUUAUCACGGGAGACACACGGCGGGUGCUAACGUCCGUCGUGAAGAGGGAAACAACCCAGACCGCCAGCUAAGGUCCCAAAGUCAUGGUUAAGUGGGAAACGAUGUGGGAAGGCCCAGACAGCCAGGAUGUUGGCUUAGAAGCAGCCAUCAUUUAAAGAAAGCGUAAUAGCUCACUGGUCGAGUCGGCCUGCGCGGAAGAUGUAACGGGGCUAAACCAUGCACCGAAGCUGCGGCAGCGA
rnacentral:rRNA from 3 species